UGAAAAUCUCUGCUUUGGAUCCGUUCCUUAUUCACUUCGCUUCCUUUUCUUUUUUUUUUGCGCCCCAACCCAACUUAUAUCCAAUCGUCUGGUGGCUUUCCUUCUUCUCCUCUCUUUUCAAUUUCCCGGAAAGUUUCCUUGUUUUCCCGGAAAGCUUACCCUGUUCUUCAACCCUUUUUCAUUCCCUGUGACAAAAUGAAGCCCGUUACUUUUCCUGUCCGUCUCUGUUUCCUUCUUGUGAAACUUUUUUCCUUUUGAUAUCCGCUGUGGUUUUGGGGACACCGCAAACAAAAAAAAACCCCUGUUUGGCUUGUAUGAAUAUUUUCCUGGGUUUUCUUUCCCUGAUUCUGUUUGCUUCCCGAGAAAAUUAAUGAAAACCCGGAUUUUCUCUCGGGAUUUCCUGCCGAACCCAUGUUUUUGAAUCAGUUCAUGCACUUCCUGAAAUCGAUUCACACUUUCAGAAGGAAAAACCCCUUUUAACGCCCAAAACCAAACCACCGGACAAAAAACAAACAAACCCUAAAGCCCCUCAAGAAGAAGAAACACAACCUUGCGACCCAAGAAACCAGACAUGGCGGGAUCAUGUUUCAACCCGUUUCGUCUCCGUAGAUCUCAAAAGACGAAACUCCAGCCUCCAACGCAACCUCUGCCACCCAUAUCUUCGCUUCCAUCGUCCUCGAAGUCGAGAUACGCAGAGACAGAGACGAUGGAGAAGAAAAGAUUCGACAGCAUGGAAUCUUGGUCGAUGAUUCUGGAAUCUGAGAACGUGGAAACUUGGGAGGCAUCGAAGGAGGACCGAGAGGAUUGGACGGCGGAUCUGUCGCAGCUUUUCAUCGGAAACAAGUUUGCUUCAGGAGCACACAGUCGCAUUUACAGAGGGAUCUAUAAACAGAGAGCGGUGGCGGUGAAAAUGGUGAGGAUUCCGACACACAGGGAAGAGACAAGAACUAAACUCGAACAACAGUUCAAGUCUGAGGUUGCUCUCCUCUCUCGUCUCUUUCAUCCCAACAUCGUCCAGUUCAUCGCAGCGUGCAAGAAACCGCCCGUAUACUGUAUAAUAACGGAGUACAUGUCCCAAGGGAAUCUGCGGAUGUAUCUGAACAAGAAAGAACCGUAUUCUCUCUCGACCGAAACCAUUCUAAGAUUGGCCCUCGACAUAUCGAGAGGGAUGGAGUAUCUUCACUCGCAAGGGGUUAUCCACAGAGACCUGAAAUCGAACAAUCUGCUGUUGAACGACGAGAUGAGGGUCAAAGUUGCAGAUUUCGGGACCUCGUGUCUCGAGACGCAGUGCAGAGAGGCCAAGGGAAACAUGGGGACUUACCGGUGGAUGGCGCCCGAGAUGAUCAAGGAGAAACCCUACACCCGGAAAGUCGACGUCUAUAGCUUCGGGAUCGUUCUUUGGGAGCUCACUACCGCUUUGCUUCCGUUCCAAGGCAUGACUCCCGUUCAAGCCGCCUUUGCCGUCGCUGAAAAGAACGAGAGGCCGCCAUUGCCGGCGAGCUGCCAACCGGCGUUAGCCCAACUGAUAAAACGGUGCUGGUCGGCGAACCCGUCGAAGAGGCCGGAUUUCUGCGAGAUAGUGGCGGCGCUCGAGAAAUACGACGAGUGCGUGAAAGAAGGACUGCCCCUCGCCGGCCUUGUCACCACCAAGAACGCCAUUCUUGAUCGACUCAAGGGCUGUGUUUCGUCCAUCCAUGGCUCCUCUUCCUCCUCCUCCUCCUCCUCUGUCCCUGUACAUGCCUAAGUAAAAUCCCCUUCAAAACCUUCUCCUUCGUUCCAAAGUUGAAGUGGGCGCCGCGUAUCAAAGAGACGUUGAAUGCCUGAUCGAAGUUUUUUUUAUAACGCGGACACGAGGAGUCCAGGCAAGUCGCACAAGAUGCUCGUGGAAUGCAAAAAGACCAAGUCAAAGACGUCGUGUUGACUUUUGGAUUGCUUUGAAAAACGUAUUGAUAGGUUAAUUUGGCAUAAUUUUAUCGAUUAUUAGGUGACUAUUAUGC